UACGGAGGGUGCGAGCGUUAUCCGGAAUUACUGGGUUUAAAGGGUGCGUAGGCGGCUUUGUAAGUCAGGAGUGAAAGUUUGCAGCUCAACUGUAAAAUUGCUUCUGAUACUGCAGAGCUGGAAUCAGGAUGAGGUCAGCGGAAUGUGGCAUGUAGCGGUGAAAUGCAUAGAUAUGCCAUAGAACACCAAUUGCGAAGGCAGCUGGCUAGACCUGUAUUGACGAUGAGGCACGAAAGCGUGGGGAGCGAACAGG
rnacentral:rRNA from 1 species